rnacentral:tRNA from 1 species
GAAAUUGGUAGACACGCUGCUCUUAGGAAGCAGUGCUCAAGCAUCUCGGUUCGAAUCCGAGUGGCGGCA